GACGAACGCUGGCGGCGUGCUUAACACAUGCAAGUCGAACGGAAAGGCUCCAGCUUGCUGGAGUACUCGAGUGGCGAACGGGUGAGUAACACGUGGGUAAUCUGCCCUGCACUCUGGGAUAAGCCUGGGAAACUGGGUCUAAUACUGGAUAUGACCUUUCUCCUUAUGGGGUUUGGUGGAAAGUUUUUCGGUGUAGGAUGAGCCCGCGGCCUAUCAGCUUGUUGGUGGGGUGAUGGCCUACCAAGGCGACGACGGGUAGCCGGCCUGAGAGGGUGAUCGGCCACAGUGGGACUGAGAUACGGCCCAGACUCCUACGGGAGGCAGCAGUGGGGAAUAUUGCACAAUGGGCGGAAGCCUGAUGCAGCGACGCCGCGUGAGGGAUGACGGCCUUCGGGUUGUAAACCUCUUUCAGCAGGGACGAAGCGUAAGUGACGGUACCUGCAGAAGAAGCACCGGCUAACUAUGUG
rnacentral:rRNA from 1 species